UGACAACCCAAAACAAUCAAAAGAUAUCAAGACAAAGUAUUGACAAAACAUUACAAAAAGUGGAGCUUCUGCUGUGUAGUUCUGUCAAAAUCUCACAGGUUUCAUACAUACCUCCCAACAUUUCAAAGAGGGACGCAUCCUUUUUGGGGUGUGAGUGUGGAUGUGGCCAGGAGCAAGGCUGCUCUGAGACAUUUUAGGUGAGUUAUAA